ACAGGGAGCUGCAUCUAGAAACAAAGCAGUAAUGGAGGAAUUGUGAUGAUUUCAUGAAUUGUCUGUCAAACAACUUCUGGGAAACCAGCCUAAAACCAAAGACCUUCCAACACAAUUCUUUAAACAUUGGCUGACAGUAAAUACGAGUAGGAACGUUCCUGAAAUAGCUGGACACCCAUGGUCUGGAAAAGAAUAAGACAAUAUAUAAAGUUGAUCUAUAAUUAUAUAUAUUUAUAUUCCUAACUGAAUAUUUAACUAAAAUUGAAUUAUUAAACUAUUUGCUUCCUAUAGAAAAAAUAUUCUUUGAGAAAUAUUUAUUUUAAGUGCAGGUACUGUAUUAUGAUUUAAUAUAUAACCAAUAAACUGUUGAAUUAAAAUAUUUGUAAUGUCAGUCAUAAUCAACAGCAAAUAUUCAAUCUAUUAAUUAUCAAACCAACCUCAAUUAUUUACUCAGUGUACCUGGACACAUGAUAUGAAUAUAAAUCCAAAAUCACUGUAUGUGCAAUGAGCAGAUCUUUCCUGACAUUGCUAACAUCCAGUUAGAACAUACACUUAAAUAGAUGUUAUAGCAAGUAAUGUAGCAUUGUGCACACAAUGUGUUAUUUGUGUUGAAUGUACUAUUGUAUUGCCCAAGGACAGAAAUAUGAUUGUCUUCCAAUGAUUGUCUCUCUGCUUCUACAUUGCUUUAAUGUCUUAAGUGCACCUGUGCCUUUAUAUUUGUUUCAAUUCCUUGCUCUCUCACUGAUUGUGUGACUGUUACAAAUGUAAGUUAUUGUGCUGUUUGCAUUUCCAGAUUGCCCAGCUUGUUGUUCAUGGCUUCUCCUCACUUCUUUGAUAUAUUUUUAUUAUUUCCAUUUUAAUUUAAUGAUUUAUUCACUAUAAAAUUCCCAAUUUUAUUAUAAGUUGAGACAUCCACUUAUCUGCCAGUCAACAUUUGCUAGGAUUUGGAGAGGAGACAGAAAAUAAGUGACAGAAAAUGUUUAUUCCAUGCACUACAUUUCCCAGCAGUGAGAUCUUCAAAAUGGUAGCUAAAAGGAUUUCCAAGACUAGUUUGCAACACACUCGUUUCUGCUUCUCUUUAUGUAGGAAACUUUGGAUCAUUAUUAGUUGGUGGUUUUUACGCUUCCUUUGCCUACUUCUAACUGUCUUCAUCUGUUUAGUUUAAUUUGUUAAAAACCAAAAGAACUGUGGAUGCUGUAAAUCAGAAACAAAGACAGAAGUUGCUGGAAAAGGUCAGAAGACCUGGCAGCAUCUGUGAAAAGAAAUUAGAAUGAACAUUUCAGGUCCAGUCAGGUCUGAGGAAGGGUCACCGCACCUGAAAUGUUAACUCUGAUUUCUCUUCACAGGUACUGUCAGGCUUGCUGAGUUUUUCCAGCAACUUCUAUUUUUAUUUCUAGUUCAAUUUGUUAAUGUUUUAUAAAUAUGAUAUGCACUCAAUAAAUUGCAAAAGUGCUUGCAACAUUUUGUAACAGAAAGUAAGCAGAACUUCUGAAACACAGUGCCAAAAUUUGAUAAAAUAUGUGCAAGGUACAAUUUUCAUUUGUGUCCAAAGCAAUGACAAUGUAAUUGUCAUAGCCCAGACAAUUUGACUUGUUUACAUUUAGAUCUUUCACAAACUGAAAAUUUAGUAUUGUGGGCUGCUAUCAUCUUGCAUUGCAUUGACUCCAGUUGCAGUAACUCACUCCGGCUGUGUGAAUCCUUGAUAACUCCCAUUCAUGUCGCGCAUUUAAUUUGGAAACAAGCUAAGGUGUGGGAAACAAGCCAAAGUAUUUUACAAAUAGGGGACAAAAAAAAAUCAUGAAGAAGUAUAUUCUAACCAAAAGGCAGGGAGUGUAAACUAUAAACAAAAUCUUGAUGAAAAAUAGAUACUGAGAAGACUUUAAAGACUGAGCAACGAGCAGACAUAUGGCGAACUUUGGGGAAAACAGUUCCUGUCCAUCGUGCUAAAAUAGCCGAAGAUUCUUUCACCAGCAGUGGCUUAGAUGAAAAUGAUUCAAAGUCAGAACAGGAUACAACACUGUGAAAUUAUCUUGCCUCACUUUCUGGCCUUUGUUGAACCUUCUGGGCCUAAUGGUUAGCAAAGAACUAGUUUGUCCUUGAUUUUUCAGCAUAAAUAACUGUGUUACCCUUCUUUGAAUCCACUACUACAUCCUGUCCACCUAUCUCCAUCAUGUCUACUCAGGAAUACUCUGAGAUUCCCAUUGUCCUUUCUACUCUUUCUUUACACACUGGUGACAAUCAGCUCUCAUUCUCCCAGACCAAACCAUGCUGUUAGAUAUCUAGUCAUUGGUGAAUUAGAAUUUACUCCAAAUAAUCAGCAAGACCAUAACAAGACCCCUCCAAGGCUUGCUCAGGUUGAACCUGACAGUGCACAAUAUUGGUUUUGUGAUGGACUCUGAGCUAAGCUUCAAUACAGUUUUCUGAACCAUCACUAAGUCAUAUUUUUAACAGAGUAACUUUAUCCAUUCCAAAUCUGAUCUCAGGACCUUUUGAAAGCCAUCAGCUCUAGGCACUACCUCUCCAAUGUUCACCUCAGUGGCAUCCUGAUCUACAUCUUACAAAGUUCGGUUCAACUCAUUGCAUUCUUCCCUCUUAGGUCUUUGCAUUGGUAAAGACUAAUAUUAAGACAGUAAUCAACUUCUGUUUAUAAAUCUUCCAGUGGUUUCACACGCUCCACUUCUGCAAGAUCCUCAAGUCUUACGCUGUAAUGCCUGACCAUUCAACUCUGUCAUUUCUUGCUUUUUCUGGUCAUUUGAGUCAGCAGAUAAGUUUGAUAAUUUGCAUGUGUGAUGUGUUGUAACUGACAUAUGUAUUCACAUUGUUUAUGAGAUCUAGAAAUGAGUUAAAAGUUUUGAUUCAAGAGUGUAAUUUCCAUAAUGAUCCCAUGCUGGGCCACAUGUCGUCUGAUAGUUUAUGCGAUCCUUUUUCUGAAUUCUAUUCUUAUGAGUAACUGUCCAUUAUUGUUUAUUCCAUUGCAAUUCAAGAACUUUCAGGAUGUUUUAUUAAUGUUUCUGUCACACAUUAUUAAAGCUAAGCUAGUGUAAGUAUUACAAAACAGAAUUGCCUUAGCUAGCGCAGUACUGAUUUAGGCAAUAUUUAUUAGUGAUUUGACGUAAAUUUAAACUUCAGAAAUAUUCACCCAGGAAUCCAAAAACAUUAGUGAUAAUGGGAACUGCAGAUGCUGGAGAAUCCAAGAUAACAAA